rnacentral:rRNA from 1 species
GUGCCAGCAGCCGCGGUAAUACGGAGGGUGCAAGCGUUAAUCGGAAUUACUGGGCGUAAAGCGUGCGUAGGCGGUUCGUUAAGUCAGAUGUGAAAGCCCCGGGCUUAACCUGGGAACUGCAUUUGAAACUGGCGGACUUGAGUUGAGUAGAGGGGAGUGGAAUUUCAGGUGUAGCGGUGAAAUGCGUAGAUAUCUGAAGGAACACCAGUGGCGAAGGCGACUCCCUGGACUCAAACUGACGCUGAGGUACGAAAGCGUGGGUAGCAAACAGGAUUAGAUACCCUGGUAGUCCACGCUGUAAACGAUGUCAACUAGCCGUUGGUUCUCUUUACAGAAUUAGUGGCGCAGCUAACGCAUUAAGUUGACCGCCUGGGGAGUACGGCCGCAAGGUUAAAACUCAAAUGAAUUGACGGGGGCCCGCACAAGCGGUGGAGCAUGUGGUUUAAUUCGAUGCAACGCGAAGAACCUUACCUACCCUUGACAUCCAGAGAAUC